UACGUAGGGAGCAAGCGUUGUCCGGAUUUAUUGGGCGUAAAGAGCUCGUAGGCGGUUCCGUAAGUCGGGUGUGAAAAAUCUGGGCUCAACCCAGUGGAGCACUCGAUACUGCGGUGACUCGAGUCCGGUAGGGGAGUGUGGAAUUCCUGGUGUAGCGGUGAAAUGCGCAGAUAUCAGGAAGAACACCCGUGGCGAAGGCGGCUCUCUGGGACGGUACUGACGCUGAGACGCGAAAGCGUGGGGAGCGAACAGG
rnacentral:rRNA from 1 species